rnacentral:rRNA from 1 species
AGUGAGGAAUAUUGGUCAAUGGACGCAAGUCUGAACCAGCCAUGUCGCGUGCAGGACGACGGCCCUAUGGGUUGUAAACUGCUUUUGUAUGGGAAGAAAGUUAGCUACGAGUAGCUAUUUGCCGGUACCAUACGAAUAAGGAUCGGCUAACUCCGUGCCAGCAGCCGCGGUAAUACGGAGGAUCCGAGCGUUAUCCGGAUUUAUUGGGUUUAAAGGGUGCGUAGGCGGACUGAUAAGUCAGUGGUGAAAUGCUGCAGCUUAACUGUAGAAUUGCCGUUGAUACUGUCAGUCUUGAGUACAGUUGAGGUAGGCGGAAUGUGGUGUGUAGCGGUGAAAUGCAUAGAUAUACCACAGAACACCGAUUGCGAAGGCAGCUUACUAAAGUGACACUGACGCUGAUGCACGAAAGCGUGGGUAUCAAACAGGAUUAGAUACCCUGGUAGUCUACGCUGUAAACGAUGAUUACUGGUUGUUAGCGAUAUACCGUUAGUGACUGAGCGAAAGCAUUAAGUAAUCCACCUGGGGAGUACGUCGGCAACGAUG